UGGUGGAGUGAUUUGUCUGGUUAAUUCCGUUAACGAACGAGACCUCGACCUGCUAAAUAGACACAUCAAUUCAAUUUCUUAUUGAUUGACUGUGAUUCUUCUUAGAGGGACUAUCGGUGCGUAGCCGAUGGAAGUUCGAGGCAAUAACA
rnacentral:rRNA from 1 species